rnacentral:tRNA from 1 species
GAGUAUUUGGCUCAGACGGUAAAGCGUCUGUCUGCAAAGCAGGAGACCUGGGUUCGAUCCCUGAGUUGUGA